rnacentral:lncRNA from 1 species
AUGUGCACACUAAUGUAUGUAUUUUCCACCGACUCUAAGUUAAUUUUUUAUAUUUUUCUUCUUUCUUCUUUUAAGCAUUAUGAAAUAAUUUCAUCAUCUGAAAAGAAUACUGGAUUCCUUCCAUUAACUGACAAGCAGAUCCAGCCCGCAAAGCAGCAGCAAACUAUCAUAGCGUCCUUCUGCCAGAGAAUUCACCAGGUCAUCACACACCAGAGACUAGCUCGCAACAGCCCUGGCCUGGCUCAUUCACUAAAGGACACAUGGAGACGAUCCUCACUUUUGGGAUGAUGACACUGACGGCCAAAUGCCCAGCAGAGGUGAAUGGUGGGAGAGAAAUGCUGCGUGUCACUCCGAUGCGGAUGCUGGCAGAGGGGCCAAGGUAAGCUUGUUAGGGAGCGGCCGCGCUGCCGGCCCACCUCCUCCACGCUCGCUCCUGCC